AAUCUCUUCUUCUGACUGGGGGCUUACUGCAAUGGUGGGCUCCAGCUGUUUAUGAGCCACUAAUGAAAUCUGAGCCAUUAGGCCAUGAAAUCAGAUUUCCCACACCUGCCCAUCUGCUAUGAGUCCAGCAUCUUUGGAUAAAGCAUGUUCCACCCAUCUGGCAUUCAUCUGAAGACAUCAGACGUCCACUAAUUCUGUAAGUAGUUUCUUCUGAAUUUUAAAUAUGGGAUAACA
rnacentral:lncRNA from 1 species